rnacentral:rRNA from 1 species
CGAAGAACCUUACCAGGUCUUGACAUCCCCUGACAACCCGAGAGUAUCGGGCGUUCCCCUUCGGGGGGCAGGGUGACAGGUGGUGCAUGGUUGUCGUCAGCUCGUGUCGUGAGAUGUUGGGUUAAGUCCCGGCAACGAGCGCAACCCUUCGACCUUACGUUGCCAGCACUUCAGUUUGGGCACUCUAGAGGGACUGCCGGCGACAAGUCGGAGAAGGUGGGGAUGACGCCAAAUCAUCCAUGCCCCUUAUGACCUGGGCUACACACGUGCUACAAUGGGCGGUACAAAGGGCUGCGAACCCGCGAGGGGGAGCGAAUCCCAAAAGCCGCUCUCAGUUCGGAUUGCAGGCUGCAACUCGCCUGCAUGAAGCCGGAAUCGCUAGUAAUCGCGGAUCAGCACGCCGCGGUGAAUACGUUCCCGGGCCUU